AGUAAAGUCUGAGACUCAGCAGAUGAAAGGCAUUGUGGGACAGUCUUUAUCGUUUCCAGAGAGAGUGUUUAAAACUGGAUAUUUAAGGUAUGGAGAAGACACUACUGCAAGUGUGAUCAAUGGACAAAGCCAUGUAGAUUUAGAAGAGAGAUUUAAAAAUCGCGUUCACUGGGACAAACCUCACUCUUUACUAUGUUGUUUCCAAACCUCAGGUGACAGAGUGUGACAGCAGCUCCUGUAGUGUGGUGUGUUCUGUGGACAACAAAAAAGAGGUGACCUUGACCUUGUACAGGGGAGAGGAAAUACUAAACCAGACCAGCAGUCCUGACCUCACCACUGAUCUAUCUCUCCGUUUGGAGGUAGAGGGAAAGAACUACAACUCCACCUACAGCUGUGUGGCUGCUAACCCUGUCAGCAAGGAGACAGUUCUUGUCCCAAAAUGUUGCAGUGAAGAUGGUCAUCCCAAGGAGACAGACAGUGAUGGGAUGACUCGGGGUAUGCUUAUUAUUGCUGUAAUCUGCGUUUUGGUUGCCUCAGGGCUGGUUGGACUUGCAAUCAAUCUAAAGCAGAGGGGAAAUGAACACUCACAAGAUUCAUCCGAAAGAGUGCAAGUUGACAUUGAGUAUGCAACGAUUACUUACAUAAAACAAACAGGUAACCAGGAGGAGCGAAGAAGUAUACCAGAACUGGAGUCGCAUAGAGACAACCCUGAAAUGGCAUCAGUUUAUGAUACACUGCAGUUACAUCGCAUGGCUGACAGCAGGGAUGUUGACACAGCAUGAAGGAACAGAACUGGAAGUCACUGAGAAGCCAACAUGAUAACUCAUAAAGAGGACAUUUAACCAAAAUGAAAGUAAAAUAAUAAUCACCCAGAAAACCUUUUAGAGGCACAGUUGUUAUGGGAGAAAAAUCCCCUGGAACUGUUGCGCUGAUGUUAUAACUUCAGGCUUUCUUUGUAGGUCAUUCUCACAGACCUGUCAAAUAGAGGCCUCGCUGACAUCCACUGAUAAGGACCAAUUCAAUAACUAUUUAUUGAGUUAGUAGCAGGGUCAGGAUAAUCCUUCUUUUCAGCUGCCUUUUGUCCCAAAUCCCAAUGUAUAAGUUAAAACAAAUGGAACAUAUAUUUUAAUACUGGGCACAACUUUGGUUUUGGAAGUGGGAGGACAUAACUUUUUAUCCUGUCGGAUAAACACUCCAAACAACCUACCCGCCCACUCGGAGGCGUCCGUAUGGUCCUAAAGCACACCAUUGCCUCGUUUUGUAUCACAUUCCAAUGAUAAAACUGGGGGGACAAAAAUGAUAUUUCAGAAUGUGGGGGGGACAUGUGGCACCCUUGGUGUUUGCUAUGCUACUGCUGGCCAAAGCUUCUUUUCAGUUAUGACUGUUUUGUUGUUUAAAUGUAG
rnacentral:lncRNA from 1 species